UUGUAAUCUACUAUUUCAAUUAUUUCUAAUAUUUGUGAAACAUUUCAAAUUUUAUUUUUACGCUAAUAGUUCUGUUUAUUUAAAUUGCAUCUUCUCUAUUUAUUUAUUUUACAUCCACGACUAUUGUGAAGUUGGUUACUUCAAUCGUUUCGAUAUUUCGAGAAUCGCAAUAUCGCUUCGAUAGGAUUUCAAAUCGCGGUCAAUAUUAGUUAUAACAUAACAUGGCGUACAAAGUUGCACGCUCGUCGCGCUCCGUGUAUAUUUCGCGAUUAUUACUGUAUAAAAGUGUAUUUCACGCGCAAAGAGUUAUCGCGAGUGUUCCGUAAAGUGUCAAUUCCUCGUUGGGCACAUCGCCAACUAUUACUAUCGCGUACGCUGACAUCGCAAUAUCCGCAUCCAACAUGCAUCCCGCAUCUGCCCAGAAUUGAUCGAGAAAUCGUCUUCUCAACCGGUCCUUUGCCAAAGUCCGGCGAAAAUGCGAUUGUUGCUAGAGAUCUUCUGGACGUCUACAACGUAAAGCAUCCAAGGAAGAGGAGGAGGAGGAGGCUGCGGUUAAAGAUCAACGUAUUCAACAAUUCUGCUGCUGCGCAUUGUAUUGGUAUAAACACUCAGAUCCGAGAGGACUAAAGUGGCAAACGGAUUAGAAAAUUCCGCUUGGGCGGUUACCCAAAAUCAGUCGACCUCGGAUUCCGAGGGUACGCACAGCAACGAGAAACGCUUACCUCCUUUUCCGGAUAUUGAAGCGACCAGAUUCCUCGUUUGUGCCCUCAACCGUUACGAAGAUCAUCGCUCCAGCGAUGCUGUAUAGA